rnacentral:rRNA from 1 species
GACGUAGGGUGCAAGCGUUGUCCGGAUUUAUUGGGCGUAAAGAGCUCGUAGGCGGCUUGUUGCGUCGACUGUGAAAACCCGCGGCUUAACCGCGGGCUUGCAGUCGGUACGGGCAGGCUAGAGUUCGGUAGGGGAGACUGGAAUUCCUGGUGUAGCGGUGAAAUGCGCAGAUAUCAGGAGGAACACCGGUGGCGAAGGCGGGUCUCUGGGCCGAUACUGACGCUGAGGAGCGAAAGCGUGGGGAGCGAACAGG